rnacentral:tRNA from 1 species
UCCCGGCUAGCUCAAUCCGUAGAGCACGAUUACUGUUAGACACAGGAUCGUGGGUUCGAUUACCACGUAGGGAG